rnacentral:rRNA from 1 species
CCUACGGGUGGCAGCAGUGGGGAAUAUUGGGCAAUGGACGCAAGUCUGACCCAGCAACGCCGCGUGAAGGAAGAAGGCUUUCGGGUUGUAAACUUCUUUUAAGGGGGAAGAGCAGAAGACGGUACCCCUUGAAUAAGCCACGGCUAACUACGUGCCAGCAGCCGCGGUAAUACGUAGGUGGCAAGCGUUGUCCGGAUUUACUGGGUGUAAAGGGCGUGCAGCCGGAGAGACAAGUCAGAUGUGAAAUCCACGGGCUCAACCCGUGAACUGCAUUUGAAACUGUUUCCCUUGAGUGUCGGAGAGGUAAUCGGAAUUCCUUGUGUAGCGGUGAAAUCCGUAGAUAUUAGAAGGAACACCAAUAGCGUAGGCAGGUUACUGGGACGGUUCUGACACUAAGGCACGAAAGCGUAGGGAGCAAACGGGAUUAGAUACCCGAGUAGUC